rfam:Alternaria alternata strain SRC1lrK2f unplaced genomic scaffold CC77scaffold_7, whole genome shotgun sequence.
ACAUACGACCACAGGCGAAGGAUAAACACUGGAUCCCGUUUGCUCUCCACACGUUAAGCCUUCGACCGGCGGACUAGUAGUCAGGUGGGUGACCACUGGCGAAUCCCCGCUGUUGUAUGUU